UCCAGACUCCUGCGGGAGGCAGCAGUGGGGAAUAUUGGACAAUGGGGGGAACCCUGAUCCAGCGACGCCGCGUGAGUGAAGAAGUAUUUCGGUAUGUAAAGCUCUAUCAGCAGGGAAGAAAGAAAUGACGGUACCUGACUAAGAAGCCCCGGCUAACUACGUGCCAGCAGCCGCGGUCAUACGUAGGAUCCGAGCAUUAUCCGGAGUGACUGGGUGUAAAGAGUUGCGUAGGUGGCAUAAUAAGUAGCUAGUGAAAUCUGGUGGCUCAACCAUUCGGACUAUUAGCUAAACUGUUAAGCUCGAGACCGUUAGGGGUAACUGGAAUUUCUAGUGUAGGAGUGAAAUCCGUAGAUAUUAGAAGGAACACCGAUAGCGUAGGCAGGUUACUGGGACGGUUCUGACACUAAGGCACGAAAGCGUAGGGAGCAAACGGGAUUAGAUACCCGCGUAAG
rnacentral:rRNA from 1 species